rnacentral:rRNA from 1 species
UACAGAGGUCUCAAGCGUUGUUCGGAUUCAUUGGGCGUAAAGGGUGCGUAGGCGGCGCGGUAAGUCGGGUGUGAAAUCUCGGGGCUUAACUCCGAAACUGCAUUCGAUACUGCCGUGCUUGAGGACUGGAGAGGAGACUGGAAUUUACGGUGUAGCGGUGAAAUGCGUAGAUAUCGUAAGGAAGACCAGUGGCGAAGGCGGGUCUCUGGACAGUUCCUGACGCUGAGGCACGAAAGCUAGGGUAGCAAACGGG